UUCAACGGCCGCGGUAUCCUAACCGUGCAAAGGUAGCGCAAUCAAUUGUCCCAUAAAUCGAGACUAGUAUGAAUGGCUAAACGAGGUCUUAACUGUCUCUUACAGGCAAUCGGUGAAAUUGAUCUCCCUGUACAAAAGCAGGGAUAAACACAUAAGACGAGAAGACCCUGUGGAACUUUAAAACCAGCAACCACCUUAAAACACAUACUCACCCACUGGGUUCACUGACACAUAAGAUACUGGUCUGCGUUUUUCGGUUGGGGCGACCUUGGAGUAAAACAAAACCUCCAAAAAUUAGACCAAACCUCUAGACUGAGAGCAACCCCUCAACGUGCUAAUAGCAUCCAGACCCAAUAUAAUUGAUCAAUGGACCAAGCUACCCCAGGGAUAACAGCGCAAUCUCCUUCGAGAGUCCAUAUCGACGAGGAGGUUUACGACCUCGAUGUUGGAUCAGGACAUCCUAGUGGUGCAGCCGCUACUAA
rnacentral:rRNA from 1 species